AUGUGAUUUUAAGUGUUUAUCGUGUUUUAUUUAUUUACAGCAAUUUGUAGACUUUGUCGUGAAGAAGUCAUCAAGGCUACAACAAAUUAUAAUGGUCCAGUUGUUGACAAACAUGAAACUGUAACUGAAGCAGAGCAGACACAUUUGCAGGAGAUCAGUGUAUAUACAGGACAUGAGGAAGAGGAAGAUGUUUCUUUGGCAGGGAGAAGGAAAAGGACAGUGGAUUGCCUUGACAGAAAUGAUCAGUUUAAAAGAAUUUGUGUACAUGAUGUUGAAGAAUCAAGCCAGAGUAGCACUAUGAGUUCUUUGCAGACAGCAGAUAGUCAAGAAUCAUAUGCAUCUGUGAUGAACAUUUCCAGAUUAGAGAGUCUCAAUACCUUCUUACAUAACUGUAAUGUUAGCCCAGUUA